rnacentral:lncRNA from 1 species
GGUUGCAACAUCUGUUUUCAUUGUGCCACCGAUCAUUGCCGACAUAUAUUAGUGCAAAAUAAGCAAUUAUAAGUUGUGCAAACUCGUAAAAUACAAUUUUUACAUAGCUGUUAGUUGCCAGCAGUCCACAUUGAGUGAGUAUAUUUUACAGUAAUUUUUUUUUCCCGUAUACGUGCAUACAAUAUGUUUUAUUAUAUAUUAAUUUUACAUUUCAGUUACCUACCCUAUGUUCUUGAGAAGAAAAAAAAAAUGCAUAUUAAGUAAUCAUAUCAUUCAGGCGAAGGUACAUAAGACGUUUGCAAGUGCAAAGUUCACUUCCCUGUACAAAAAUGAUCACCGUGCACCAUGUACACGCCGUAGGGUGCACCUAUUGCCAGAAGGCCAUACCCACAAGGCCUCCAGACAUGGCGCACCCAUAACGCAUCAUGGCCGGUGACCCAAGAGAGACCAGGAAUACUCAAUUUAAGCUGUGAGAAUACACUACACACAUUACAUACACAUUAGCCUCACGCAUUGUCAUAAAACUACAGUAGUAUGCUAAGUGGGCGAUAUAAAUAAGAUUUAUAUCCGUUUCUUAUUGAUAUAAUUUAAAAUUUAGAUAAUAGAAAUAUUUGCCUUCGUCA